UCGUUUAGCAAUUGAUAUCGAACAGUGUCGUUAGUAAUUGCUAAGGAGUACUUCACUAAAGCAGCGUUUCGCCGUGCCCACACCGAGACCCUGCUUUUUUUA
rfam:Lactobacillus panis DSM 6035 NODE_453, whole genome shotgun sequence.